rnacentral:tRNA from 14 species
CGGGAUAUGGCGCAGUUUGGUAGCGCACCUCGUUCGGGACGAGGGGGUCGCAGGUUCAAAUCCUGUUAUCCCGACCA